rnacentral:rRNA from 1 species
UACGUAGGUGACAAGCGUUGUCCGGAUUUACUGGGCGUAAAGAGCGCGCAGGCGGUCGAUCAAGUCGAGUGUGAAAGCCCCCGGCUCAACUGGGGAGGGUCACGCGAUACUGAUCGACUCGAAGGCAGGAGAGGGUAGUGGAAUUCCCGGUGUAGUGGUGAAAUGCGUAGAUAUCGGGAGGAACAUCGGUGGCGAAAGCGCUCUGCUGGACUGCAACUGACACUCAGGGACGAAAGCUAGGGGAGCGAAUGGG